AUUCGCCCUUAGAGUUUGAUCCUGGCUCAGGACGAACGCUGGCGGCGUGCCUAACACAUGCAAGUCGAGCGGAGAUUAUGGAAGAGCUUGCUCGGAAAUAAUCUUAGCGGCGGACGGGUGAGUAACGCGUGAGCAACCUGCCUUUCACAGGGGGAUAACGCAGCGAAAGUUGUGCUAAUACCGCAUAAGACCACGGGAGGACAUCCUCCAGGGGUCAAAGGAGCAAUCCGGUGAAAGAUGGGCUCGCGUCUGAUUAGCUAGUUGGUGAGGUAACGGCCCACCAAGGCGACGAUCAGUAGCCGACCUGAGAGGGUGAUCGGCCACAUUGGAACUGAGAGACGGUCCAAACUCCUACGGGAGGCAGCAGUGGGGAAUAUUGGGCAAUGGGGGGGAACCCUGACCCAGCAACGCCGCGUGAAGGAAGAAGGUUUUCGGAUUGUAAACUUCUGUCCUAUGAGACGAAGGAAGUGACGGUAUCAUAGGAGGAAGCCCCGGCUAACUACGUGCCAGCAGCCGCGGUAAUACGUAGGGGGCAAGCGUUGUCCGGAAUGAUUGGGCGUAAAGGGCGCGUAGGCGGCCUGAUAAGUCUGAAGUGAAAGUCCUGCUUUCAAGGUGGGAAUUGCUUUGGAUACUGUCGGGCUCGAGUGCAGGAGAGGUAAGCGGAAUUCCCGGUGUAGCGGUGAAAUGCGUAGAGAUCGGGAGGAACACCAGUGGCGAAGGCGGCUUACUGGACUGUAACUGACGCUGAGGCGCGAAAGCGUGGGGAGCAAACAGGAUUAGAUACCCUGGUAGUCCACGCGGUAAACGAUGAAU
rnacentral:rRNA from 1 species